GAAACCGUGUGCUUACAAGUAGUCAGAGCCCGUUAAUGGGUGAUGGCGUGCCUUUUGUAGAAUGAACCGGCGAGUUACGAUUUGAUGCAAGGUUAAGCAGUAAAUGUGGAGCCGUAGCGAAAGCGAGUCUGAAUAGGGCGUUUAGUAUUUGGUCGUAGACCCGAAACCAGGUGAUCUACCCUUGGUCAGGUUGAAGUUCAGGUAACACUGAAUGGAGGACCGAACCGACUUACGUUGAAAAGUGAGCGGAUGAACUGAGGGUAGCGGAGAAAUUCCAAUCGAACCUGGAGAUAGCUGGUUCUCUCCGAAAUAGCUUUAGGGCUAGCCUCAAGUGAUGAUUAUUGGAGGUAGAGCACUGUUUGGACGAGGGGCCCCUCUCGGGUUACCGAAUUCAGACAAACUCCGAAUGCCAAUUAAUUUAACUUGGGAGUCAGAACAUGGGUGAUAAGGUCCGUGUUCGAAAGGGAAACAGCCCAGACCACCAGCUAAGGUCCCAAAAUAUAUGUUAAGUGGAAAAGGAUGUGGCGUUGCCCAGACAACUAGGAUGUUGGCUUAGAAGCAGCCAUCAUUUAAAGAGUGCGUAAUAGCUCACUAGUCGAGUGACACUGCGCCGAAAAUGUACCGG
rnacentral:rRNA from 1 species